rnacentral:rRNA from 1 species
UCAGUCGACUCCUACGGGAGGCAGCAGUGGGGAAUCUUGGACAAUGGGGGGCAACCCUGAUCCAGCCAUGCCGCGUGAGUGAUGAAGGCCUUAGGGUCGUAAAGCUCUUUCGCCUGUGAUGAUAAUGACAGUAGCAGGUAAAGAAACCCCGGCUAACUCCGUGCCAGCAGCCGCGGUAAUACGGAGGGGUUAGCGUUGUUCGGAAUUACUGGGCGUAAAGCGCGCGUAGGCGGAUUAGUCAGUUAGAGGUGAAAUCCCAGGGCUCAACCCUGGAACUGCCUUUAAUACUGCUAGUCUUGAGUUCGAGAGAGGUGAGUGGAAUUCCGAGUGUAGAGGUGAAAUUCGUAGAUAUUCGGAGGAACACCAGUGGCGAAGGCGGCUCACUGGCUCGAUACUGACGCUGAGGUGCGAAAGUGUGGGGAGCAAACAGGAUUAGAUACCCCUGGUAG